rnacentral:rRNA from 1 species
GACGAACGCUGGCGGCGUGCUUAACACAUGCAAGUCGAACGGAAAGGCCCUGCUUUUGUGGGGUGCUCGAGUGGCGAACGGGUGAGUAACACGUGAGUAACCUGCCCUUGACUUUGGGAUAACUUCAGGAAACUGGGGCUAAUACCGGAUAGGAGCUCCUGCUGCAUGGUGGGGGUUGGAAAGUUUCGGCGGUUGGGGAUGGACUCGCGGCUUAUCAGCUUGUUGGUGGGGUAGUGGCUUACCAAGGCUUUGACGGGUAGCCGGCCUGAGAGGGUGACCGGCCACAUUGGGACUGAGAUACGGCCAAGACUCCUACGGGAGGCAGCAGUGGGGAAUAUUGCACAAUGGGCGGAAGCCUGAUGCAGCAACGCCGCGUGCGGGAUGACGGCCUUCGGGUUGUAAACCGCUUUCGCCUGUGACGAAGCGUGAGUGACGGUGAUGGGUAAAGAAGCACCGGCUAACUGCGUG